CAUUUCCCAAACCGGCUCUGAUUUCCCAGCUGGAACGAGGGGAAACACCCUGGUGCUCGGUUCCUCAGGGAGCUCUGGAUGGAGAGGCCCCGAGGGGCAUCUCCUCAGGGAUAGGUGAAGAAGAGAUCUUCAUCUUUUCUAUUUCUUCUUGACAUUUUAAAGAUAUCCAUCUCUAAAGCUUGCUGGGAUUUCCCAUCCUGAGCAGGUGGAAGAGCCAUUAAACCUGAAACUGCAAGGAGAGGGUCCAAGCCUAAUUUGUCCUGG
rnacentral:sRNA from 1 species